UACGUAGGUGGCAAGCGUUGUCCGGAUUUACUGGGCGUAAAGAGCGCGCAGGCGGUCGAAUAAGUCGAAUGUGAAAGCCCCCGGCUCAACUGGGGAGGGCCAUUCGAUACUGCUCGACUUGAAGGCAGGAGAGGGUAGUGGAAUUCCCGGUGUAGUGGUGAAAUGACGUAGAUAUCGGGAGGAACACCAGUGGCGAAGGCGACUACCUGGCCUGUUCUUGACGCUGAGGCGCGAAAGCUGGGGGAGCAAACGGGG
rnacentral:rRNA from 1 species